rnacentral:rRNA from 1 species
GACGAACGCUGGCGGCGUGCUUAACACAUGCAAGUCGAACGGAAAGGCCCUGCUUGCAGGGUACUCGAGUGGCGAACGGGUGAGUAACACGUGGGUGAUCUGCCCUGCACUUCGGGAUAAGCCUGGGAAACUGGGUCUAAUACCGGCCAGGUGCCAUUUUUAGUGUGAUGGUUGGAAAGUUUUUUCGGUGUAGGAUGAGCUCGCGGCCUAUCAGCUUGUUGGUGGGGUAAUUGCCUACCAAGGCGGCGACGGGUAGCCGGCCUGUGAGGGUGGACGGCCACAUUGGGACUGAGAGACGGCCCAGACUCCUACGGGAGGGAGCAGUGGGGAAUAUUGAACAAUGGGCGCAAGCCUGAUGCAGCGACGCCGCGGGGGGGAUGACGGCCUUCGGGUUGUAAACUCAUUUCGCUAGGGACGAAGCUUUUUGUGACGGUACCUAGAUAAGAAGCACCGGCUAACUACGUG